GAUGAACGCUGGCGGCGUGCCUAAUACAUGCAAGUCGAGCGAACAGACGAGGAGCUUGCUCCUCUGACGUUAGCGGCGGACGGGUGAGUAACACGUGGAUAACCUACCUAUAAGACUGGGAUAACUUCGGGAAACCGGAGCUAAUACCGGAUAAUAUAUUGAACCGCAUGGUUCAAUAGUGAAAGACGGUUUUGCUGUCACUUAUAGAUGGAUCCGCGCCGCAUUAGCUAGUUGGUAAGGUAACGGCUUACCAAGGCAACGAUGCGUAGCCGACCUGAGAGGGGGAUCGGCCAAACUGGAACUGAGACACGGUCCAGACUCCUACGGGAGGCAGCAGUAGGGAAUCUUCCGCAAUGGGCGAAAGCCUGACGGAGAAACGCCGCGUGAGUGAUGAAGGUCUUCGGAUCGUAAAACUCUGUUAUUAGGGAAGAACAAAUGUGUAAGUAACUAUGCACGUCUUGACGGUACCUAAUCAGAAAGCCACGGCUAACUACGUG
rnacentral:rRNA from 1 species